CAUCAGAACGUUAUUGAAAAAGGGGGAGAUAGUAAAGGCUGGAAAUUAUCUCUACUCAUAUAAAAAGCACACUUGAUGGUGAUGGUGUGCCUGCCAUCUAGCAAUUCCGACCAUCCGAUCGACGUCUAACGCAUCAAAAGUGAUGUUGGCACUUUAGCAAAGAGACGCCCGCUAGUCUCCCUCUUCCAGACCGAUCCAGAUCCAUCCACAUCCAAUGCCUCGUCUCUACAGCGGGAGCCACCACCACCACAAUCUCCCCUCCACCGCCUCCUUUCCCGUCUCCGACACUGCUAACAACCAGAAGUACGGUGCCAACGUCGUCGGUUCCUCAACGCCUCCCAUGCCUUCUCCUCUACCGCAGCAGUCCGCCACCUACCAUCACACCAGCUCCCCCCUCCUCCUCACCGUCUCCUCCAGCCCCCUCCCCCAUCUCCUCCGAUGCCACCCGCUACAAGUGCGUUGACGGCUGCGCGCUGCUAAUCCACGGCGGCGGUGCCAUCAAAUACUACCGAUUCACCUCGCCGUCGGCCAUCCCUGCCACCCCGCUCAUGUGCUCGUCAGCAAGGUGAAGCGGCCGGAGAUUUGGGCCAACAUUGAUGACCGAGAUAGGGCCAUGCCGAGCUGCGAACCAGCAGCGAGGAGGCUCCUCCGGCACUCGCGGCAUACACGACACGGGGCGAGCGACGUACACGGCGAGUCGGCUCCCCUGGCGCUUGAUUCAACGGCAUCGUACACAGCGGUUGGCGGCCCUCACUAUCACUGCCGACCUGCAGCGUGUCAUCGGAAGCUAGCAGCACUGCGUUCGCUCACGGGCACCAUCGGCGGCGUCGACGCGUGCGUCCGACCGCGUGAGCUGCAGGUGGAUAGCAGGAGCGAGAGCAUGCUUUGCUUCUGAAAAUGGUCCACAAGUUCUUGAAUCAAUGCAAUAUCCCAUGGGUACAUUUGAUCUGGGAAUCUUAUUACCAGAAUAGCCUGCCCCCUGGUGAGAAUGCCCAAUGCUCAUUUUGGUGGAAGGAUUGUCUGAAGCUGCUGGACACCUACAAGUUACAUUCUUCCUGUACUCCUGGUUCAGGCAAGUCAAUCUUGUUUUGGAAGGAUAAUUGGGCUGGGAAUACAUUGAAUUCUCAAUGGCCACAGCUGGCCUCCUUUGCCCUGAAUCCUCACAUGUCUCUGCAUCAGAUCAUCAAUAUUGAGGACACUUCAUCACUAUUUCAUUUACCUUUUUCAGUGGAAGCCUUCGAACAAUAUCAGGAGAUGCUUGGUCUGCUGCAAAACUUCCCCACUCUGGAUCAAAAUGAUACUUGGCGAUUCCCUUCCGGUGUAACGUCCUAUGCUGUGUCAAAUACAUACAUAAUUCUUAUGGGGGAAUUUCAUACCAUCCCUGCCAUCUCCUGGUUAUGGAAAGCUAAUUGCUCUUAGUUGAAGCACAAGAUUUUCUUCUGGCUUCUCAUCAAUGACAGACUAAAUACUAGAGGGAUGCUCCUGAGGAAGAGUUUCUUCAUUGACGACUACUCUAGGCACACCCUACUGAACUGAUACCAGUGACCCAUGUUCAUCAAAUUGAUUUACACUCUUCUGUAUGGGAGCUUGGACGAAAGGAUUUAUCAUUUGGAAACAUUAUGUUUGAUUGUGCUCUUUAUAUACCCAUCGACAAUAUAACAUCACUUGAUCAAUGUC